rnacentral:lncRNA from 1 species
AAGAGCUGCAACCUGUAAAUGUCUAUGUUUUGCUUGCAGGGUUUCCAGUCCUCCUCUAGAAUGGAAUACUGGAAUAUUUUUUGAUUUGUCUACGCAGUGAAUUAUUUGUAAAAAAAUAUAUAUAUAUAUUUUGUUUGUUUGUUGCAUAAUAAAUACUUUUUUAACACUUUUUUUGUCGAAAAAUUUUAUUUACUUUUUUAUUUCACAUAAAUUACAUCACAAAAAAUGUUGCAGAUUUAUUCUAAAAAAUUCUUUUCAAAUAAUCUUCUACGUCAUUUGAUUGAAUUAUAAUUGUAAAGCAGGGGUUGGAUCAAGCUAUCAUUAACUCAGGGUUAAUUCUGUUUUAAUGUUAUUGGUUAAUUUUUGGGUUCAUGUGCUAAAAACUCAUGUAAGGUGGCAAAAGAUACUCUCCUUAUAAAUAUAGCUACCUCAUAUUUUCAUUUUCAGAUUAUAUAUAUGCAUUUGGGAGUUACAUCAUUGUCAAUGCUGAGUAAUGGAUCUUAUCUUAAAGACAUCACUAAUUAAUAAUCACAACAUAACCUAGUUGUAAUCAUCGUCGGGUCCUCUCCUAUUGAUCAGCAAUCAUCAUGGUAUAAAAUUGGUAAAGAAGCACAAGAUUCUAAUUUUUUUUUAUGUGGUGCUGUGUUAAUUUAUGGGAAAAUUUUAUGGUCCCUCUAGAGAGCUAUUUCCUCAAUUUAUAUUUUUAAAAAAUGAUAAUGAUUUAUUUUUUAAACGAUUUAAAUUGUUACAAUCUAAUAGUCAAAAUCUUUUAUUUUGCGAUCCAACGAUAAAUCUCUAACGUAUAUUGUAGAUUCAACCCAUCCCUUAAUGUUUUUGGACAUGUUUCAUAUUAUUGGACAUAUAUUAUAUUGGGAUGGUCUAAAUUCACACCCCUAAUGCAUUAAUGACUUGUAUCAUGAGUAUUGAUAAUUUGUACUAUUAACAUUAAUAGUUAUACCAUGUGUAGAUUUAGACCGUAGGUAGGGUUGUGGGUUUAGCAUCAUUCACAAUAAUAAUAAAAGGGGACACUAUGGCAAAGAGCCUAUUGCCUCCAAGCAAAGGCGAAAGAAGGACAAACAAAAAAAAAUUGGAAUAAGGCAUUUACCCAAGAAAAGGCCCCCUGUAUUUGCCAAAGAAAAUCUCAUUGGUACAAUCUUCUUAUCAGUAGCUGAUUUGUUUACCUAAAGAAGCAGUACUCUCUCUGGUGGACAUCAUCACAAAUUUAGUGGUCUAGCACUCCAAUUUAGAAUUCAAUUAAAGCAAUCAUCCCUUGAAUUCAACAACAUUGGAGCAACUAAAACAUAUAUAAUUAUCAGUUCCGAAAACAGGAUAGAGACACUUAACGAAAGGAGAACCUCAAAAACUUGGCAUGCAAGAUCACAAAAUUAGAAAAGGGCAGAAACUAGUGAUGAAUAAUUGAUGAAUAUUCUUAUCCUACAACCCAACAAGUGAGGGAUCCAAAUUAUCCAAAACGCAGCUAGCUUUGUCGAACAGAGCAGUUUUUUACAUUCUCAAACUCAAAUGGAGUCAGUGAUUCCAUUGCACGGUCACAACCUCCUCAAACUCCUCCUCUUCCUCACCAUCCUCCACCAUGUACCACACUCAACCACCUCUCUCGAUCUACUCCCUAAAGAAGCGCUGCCGACGAAAUCUGGCUACCUCGAAGUAAACUCCACAACUGGUUCAGCCCUUUUCUACACAUAUUAUGAGGCACAAAAGCCCACCACACCCCUCUCUCAAACCCCCCUUCUCAUCUGGCUCCAAGGUGGCCCUGGAUGCUCCUCCAUGCUUGGAAACUUCUAUGAACUUGGUCCGUGGCUGGUUACGUCUAAUGUUUCAGUUAAGCAUAAUCCAGGGGCAUGGAACAGGAUAUUUGGGGUCCUUUUUAUUGAUAAUCCAAUUGGAACUGGAUUCAGCAUUGCUGCUUCGCUUCAAGAAAUCCCAAGAAAUCAGCAUGACGUUGCGAAACAUCUUUUCAUCGCUAUCAAGAAGUUUAUUAAGCUGGAUGAUAUGUUUAAAACGAGGCCAAUUUAUGUUACUGGGGAGAGUUAUGCUGGAAAGUAUGUUCCGGCACUUGGCUACUACAUAUUGAAAAAGAAUGCUAUUUUGCCAGUUUCCAGUAGGGUCAAUUUGGCCGGUGUAGCUAUUGGAAAAGGACUAACAGAUCCGGCCACACAAACGGCCACUUAUGCUGUGAAUGCUUACUAUUCUGGAUUCAUUAACGAUAAGCAGAAGAAAAUCUUGGAGAAUCUUCAGAAGAAGGCUGUUGAAUUGACACAAAUUGGGAAUUGGACUCAGGCUUCUAAUGCAAGAGAUACAGUGGUGCAAACAUUGCUAGACAUGACUGGCUUCGUAAGUGUAUAUGAUUUUAGAAGGUUAGUUCCAUAUCAAGAUUAUUUAGUGGCUGAGUUUCUAACAAAUAUGGAGGUAAAAAAGGCGUUAGGGGCUAAGGAAAAUAUUGUGUUUGAAGCAUGUAGUGAUGUUGUGGAAGAUGCGCUAACCGAGGAUAUCAUGAAGAGUGUGAGGUAUAUGGUUGACUAUUUAGUUAGGGAAACUAAGGUUUUAUUGUACCAGGGACAGUGUGAUAUGCUUCUUAAUGUGGUGUCGAAUGAGGCUUGGAUAAAGAAACUGAAGUGGGCGAGACAAAGAGAGUUCAUGGAAGCAGAUAGGAAAGUUUGGAGAGUGAACGAGACUUCAGCUGGCUCUGUGCAGAAGUUUGAGAAAUUGAGUCAUGUUGUGGUGUUGAAUGCGGGACACCUUGUGCCUGCUGAUCAGCCUUUGAAUUCUCAAGCUAUGAUAGAAGACUGGGUUUUGGACAGGGGACUCUUUGCCGAUUAGCAGUAGAACAACAUGCAAACCAAAUAUCACUUUGUUGUGUCAUAUUUUAUUUACUUUGUUGUGUGCUGCAAUAUCUGUCCUAGUAAUUCAGCUCCAGUAUUUACACUUGAAGCCAAGAACUUUAUCAUCUGGGCUGAUGAAUUAGCAGUUUCAGUAGCCAUCACAAAUUAGUUAUUACUAUCUUUGUUCUUAGGCACAGCCUAAUGAACCGAUACUCAUUAAGUUACUAAUGAGUUCAAAUGAAUAUAUGCUGCUUUUUGGAAACAACCAAUAGCAAUAGGCGCCAGUUCAACUCUGUUCAACUGUUUGCAGUAGAAUCUUGCUGAGCUUGGAGCUUUCAACUCCUUCAAAAAUAUGCAAUUGUUUUUCUUGAAUUUUCUUCUCCAUGACUGGUUCAACUACAUUCUGCAUCAUGUCCAAUGAAUUGCCUCAGCUCACCAAAAAGUACGCACUAUCAGCCGGUUUCUCGAGAAGCAAUUGGUUUCAUUUGUCAAUACACUGCCCAAACGGUCAAUCAUUGACAGGCGCCGAACCUGUUUAAUAAUAAAUACCUACUCGAGAAAAAUACAGAUUUUGUAUAUAACGGUGAGUAGGGUCGAAUCCACAGGGACUGGGGAUAAUUCGUUUCUUCUAGAGUCCAAGGUAUGGGGGGUUUUGGAUUAAAUGCUAACUAGAUAAAUUAACUACAGAAAAUAAUUGAUUAAGAGGAAUAAUUAAGGGAAAACUCUAGCCAAGGGUAUACUUCAGAAAUGGUUCAUGCACUGAUCAUUGAUACAGAAAUAAUUCCAACAUUUAGUAAUAGAUUAGUUAUAGUUGUCAUGCACGCGAUAAACAACCAACCCUUCCUUAAUUUCUCGAUAGCUAAGGUACGACCGUUAGCUAUUUCUCUAACCCAAAAACAACCCUAGGUACGAUCGUAGGAUUUAAUUUCUAGAUUGCAUUAAAAAUUAGAAAGGCCCAAUCCUAACCAACAAACACGCUACGAGGGUUUGUUUAAGCUAGAUCAUAUGCUCCCCUGACAUAAACCCAAUUACGCCAGUUGCUACUAAGAUAGAGAUAACGAACAAUUCGGAUUCAAUUACCCCUAUUUAGCAAAAAUAGCCUAUAUGAAUAAUUAAUUAUUGCGCACUAAUCAAUCAUACACAAGGCCAUAGCAAUUAAAAUCAAGGAACAUAUAAAUACCAAUAAAUGAAGAAAAUAAUUAAAACAGAUUCGAUCUCACAGUAAUUGUCGAACCAAAUCGUUAGUUGUCCCCUUGACUAGAAAAACUUAGCCACGUCUCAUGAGAAAAUCUUCCCGUUGAGGAAUAUUGUCGAAUACCUGGCGUGUGUCAGAGGCCAGUCAAAAGAAAGAAAACUAGAACUAAACUAAAAAACUAAAACUAGAGAUGUCUUCUUUCCCUACGUUAUCCCUAUUUAAACAACAAAAGAAAGAUAGGCUAAAGCUAUCUAGGUGGUCCCCACACAUGUGGACAAAACCUCCAAAGUAAUUCUUGCUCCAAGUCUCUUACGUAGCUUUCUUUGAAGAGCCCAAAUGACUUAUAGCUUUGUGGUCCCCACCAAUCCAAGGGCCCAAGGAUUGAAGCCCUUAGAAGUCUCCAUAUUCUCCAUAAAAUCUCUCUUUUUUGGUAGUUUUCUGUUUCAUUCCUGAAAUUAAGUUCAGAUACCAAAUAUGAGUAGAUAUCAGCAAUUAACACAAUAUUUAUCAGGGAUAAAAGGGAAAAUUAAUAAUAAAAUUACUAACAAAUAAUGCCCUAUCAAUUCCCCCCACACCUGAAUCAUGCUUGCCUUCAAGCAUGGGGACAAUUCAACUCAACAAUGGCUAGCUUUCACAUUAUAAUUGCCCGCUGUGCUUAUACCCAAAAUCAAGAUUUAGUGGCUAAGUGUCAAGACAUAUCUCUCCCGGUUAGCUCCUAAGUUCAUAGACCUGUCCAAUUCAUGGCUAACUCGUCUAGGAAAUCCAAAUAUUAACUAGCAAUAGUCAGCAGUUAAGUCAACUGGCAACCAAAAUUUCAACAUUACGAACCAAGGAUCGGCAGGCCAACAUGAUCAUAAACUCACAUAAUCUCCACAUCUGAUUUUCUUUUUUCUUCUCUCUUUUUUUUUAUUUUUUUAUUUUUUUUUAUAUUUAUUAUUUUUUUUGCAUUUUGCAUUUUGCAUAAACAUUGCUUAGUCCCAAGCUAUUCAAGUCUUUUGACAUGAACUCUGACAUUUUUAGAUGAAAGAAUCCAGUUACUCAACUUUUCACAGCUCCAGAUCCACUUACUCAUAGAUAUCGCCACUUUUUGACGCGAGAGCCGACACUUGUGGUGAAGACUCCCGGUUACUGGGUGGCGACACUAGCGGAGUAUAGCCAUACGUUAUUCACCAAUAAGCACCAAAAUAUCAAGUAAUUAAAGAUCAUAGCCUGCGUCAUGUCCUAAAUAUGGAGAACUAAGGUAGACAGGAGACCAAUCCACACAACAAUGCCAGCCAAAUAUUUACAUUGCUUAAACAAGUUAGUUAUAAAUUGCACCAAGUCGUUAAACUCAAACAAAUUCACCAAGACAGCAUGCUCUUACUUGCCACCGAAACUCAAUUCAUAGUGUAAACUACAACUAGCAAUAAAUAAGUGAGCUGCCAAAAUAUUCACCAAGAUAACAUCAAGGAAAAAAUACCCAAAAGGGAUAAGGGAAUAACACCUAAACAGAAAACAAGAGGAAAACAAUAAAAAAACGAAAAACUGAAAAUAUCCAACACCCAAACCGACCCCCCCACACCUAAGUUACACAUUGCCCUCAAUGUGAAAAUGUAACAGCAAACAUGAAGGAGAAGGGCAACGGUACUUCCCCGAGGUCGUCAAAAAAGGGGUGGAUCGAGUGCGAAUUGAGGCUCAAUUCCCACACGGUGCAUAAAUGCUGCCAAAUUCUGCGCCAUGCCAUGCAAGUUGAAGCCAAGCUGGGUCACGCGGAAAUUCCAAGCAAUAACAAUUUUCAAAACCAGCCUAAUGAAUCAAGAGAAACAAUUCACUCGCCCACAGGUUAUACGAACUAUCCUAACAAGAGCGCAAGCAAUAACCACUGGUGUUCCCAAUUAAGGCAAAAGCAGAAUAAGAUCAGCCUAACAAUCUCACUAGAUGUAUCAAAUCAGAAUAAGCAGAGCAAAUGGCACAAUAGCCCCUAAACAAGGCAAAUAGAGGCAACUACUUCAACAGACCAGUGCAAAUGGCACCUUCAUAUCCCAAUUCAACAAAUGCACGCAGAAAAAUACCCACAAUACUAGGACACAAUUCCAAUCAAAAUCCAACAACUGUCUCCAAUUGAACAGUCAAAUAUCCAAUUCGAUUUCCAGCGACAACCGAAUAUAAUUCGAUCAAAUCUCAAGAAUUGCAAGCAACACCGCAACCAGUACCACUGGUGCACAGACAGAAAAGAAUUAAAUUCAAUGGCAGCAACUCAACCGCGGGAACUUAAACUGUAAAAUACGCAAGUAUCUUCAAAUAGCGGCAACAAUGAUAGGCAAAGGACCUCAACCAGUACCACUGGUGAGCCACAUGGAAAAAUUAAUCAAACGGACAACAAUCUAGCAGCAAUUAAACUCAAUUCAAACCAAAAUUGGCCCAGAAAAUGCCCAAAUUAUCACCUUCCUUUAACCAUCAAGAAACCAACAACAAGUUGCAGGGAGUCAAACUAAUUGGGGAAGAAAUUACAAUACCUCCACCUGUCAGAAAUCGACAGGUGGAAUGGCGCGGCUGGACAGUUGAUGGCCGUGAAGAGGAGCUAGCGGCAGACUGCAGCGGCUUCGUGGAGGGAGGCGCUGCUGGGCCGCGUGGCUGCAGAGGUGCGCUGGUGGCUGUGACGAGCGGACUGCUAGAGAGAAGGCAGAAGGUCGCGCAAGACAGCGCUAGGCAGAGGAGCUCGCGCGCGGUCCCCUGCAGGGCUGGAUCUGCGCACGAUGGACUUGCGCAGAGAGAGAGACGUCGCGCGCUGGCGCGCGGCGUGCUGCCAGGUGGGAGGUCGCUGCGCGCUGUCCGCUGGCGUACAGGGGGGCGCACGGAGGAUUUGAGCUGGAGGGACUGUGGCGGCGGACGUGUGGCGCUGGCGGACUACAAAGUGGCGGCGGCGGACAGCAAUGGCGGCGUGCGGCCAGGUGGGGAGCGGCGGCGGUCCAAGCAGAGGAAAGGAAAGAAGAAGAAAGAAAAGAAAGAAAAAGAAGAAAGAAAGAAAAAGAAAGAAAAGAAAAAGUAGGCCUACGAUUUUUUUUUUUUUUCAAGGAACCUCUGGCUAAGGCGUGGGCACGUCCAACUGCUAUAGACUCCGCAGAUCCUGAACGAAAAUUCCUUUCCCUCAGGCGUGACCACCUGGCGUGGGCACGUCUAACUGCUAUAGAGUCCGCAGAUCCUGCCACCAAAUAUCAAACUAUUAAUUGAUACUAAUACUUAACUAAAACUAAAAAAAAAUGUAUGAAAAUUGAAACAAAUAGUCUUGGGUUGCCUCCCAAACAGCGCCUUUCUUUAAUGUUUUCGGCUAGACAUUGUCCUGUUUAUUCAUGGAGGAUAAAAUCGUGUAGCUCGUUUCAGUGCUUCAUCUUCUAUGUAAUCCUGAUAGCCCUCGUAAAUGGAGUAAUUCUUGACCACCCGAGCUACGGUCUUCCAUGGAUUAGUAGAUGGCGCCAAACAAACAAGUGAUGAUCUUAAAUUUUCACCCACUCCUCCAUCACGAGCACUUAUUGGUUCGAAAUAUUUUGCCAUCAUGACUCUUAACUUAUUCCUGGCAUGAAAUUCAAAAUCGUCUGGUAUAAUAAAAUCAGUCUCACUAACAGGAAUUAAAGAAUAAGAGUCAGGAAAAUAUUGGUCAAGGAAUGGAGGAGAUGUCACCGCAUUUGGAGAUUGUUCACUGGAUUCAUUCACUUGAACCAUUUGAUGUUAGGGUCUCAAUUUUUGCUCUUCAACUUUCUUUUCAACUGCAUCUUUAGAUUUUUCUUCUUGAGACUCUUGCAGUACCAUGUCAUUUGUCAGAAUAAUUGCACUCUCAUCUUCCUCAUGGUCGAUAAUAGUCGGUGAGGGCAAUUCUUCAUAAACUGGAGAAAUCAAUUUGCUCGUUUUAAAUGCCCAUUCACGCCUUGCUUCUUUCAUCUCUUUACUCAUCCUUUGUGUCUCCUGUUGAAGUUGAUGUACCUCCUGUUGAAUUUGAUAUGUGUUAGUAGCUAUUAAUUCAACUAUUUCUUCAAGAGACAUACCUGACAUGGAUGACGGUUCUUGAGACUCAUACUGCUGAAAAUUCAUUGGCUGCUGAAAAUUCAUUGGCCCUGUUGUAUAAUCAUAACUGGAGUUAUCCCACCAUCCUUGAUCAUACCCGUUUGGAUUAGAGUUAUACCACGUUUGAGACCAGGGUGAAAAAUCUCCAUAAUUAUUGAUUGGGACAUUCAGAUUAUCUUGAUAUUCGGGGCACAUACUGGUUGAAUGAUCCCUGGCAUAACAAAUUUUACAGGUUGCAGCAGCCAUUCUUUCUCUAAUAGAGUUUAGUGUCUCUGCAUAUGCAAACUUAGCAAAAAAACUAGUCUCAUCACCUUCCCCGGAAACAAAAUCCAGUCUAUCACCAAAAUAUGGAGUGUUAGAAACCAUAAACUAUAUAAAAAAAAUAAGAGAAAAAUAAAAAAAUAAAUAAAAACAAGAUGAACUCAAAAAGAAACAAAUUAAUCUGACACCAGUCCCCGGCAACGGCGCCAAAAAUUGACAGGUGCCGAACCUGUUCAAUAAUAAAUAUCUACUCGAGAAAAAUACAGAUUUUGUAUAUAGCGGUGAGUAGGGUCGAAUCCACAGGGAUUGGGGAUAAUUCGUUUCUUCUAGAAUCCAAGGUAUGGGGGGUUUUGGAUUAAAUGCUAACUAGAUAAAUUAACUACAGAAAAUAAUUGAUUAAGAGGAAUAAUUAAGGGAAAACUCUAGCCAAGGGUAUACUUCAGAAAUGGUUCAUGCACUGAUCAUUGAUACAGAAAUAAUUCCAACAUUUAGUAAUAGAUUAGUUAUAGUUGUCAUGCACGCGAUAAACAACCAACCCUUCCUUAAUUUCUCGAUAGCUAAGGUACGACCGUUAGCUAUUUCUCUAACCCAAAAACAACCCUAGGUACGACCGUAGGAUUUAAUUUUUAGAUUGCAUUAAUAAUUAGAAAGGCCCAAUCCUAACCAACAAACACGCUACGAGGGUUUGUUUAAGCUAGAUCAUAUGCUCCCCUGACAUAAACCCAAUUACGCCAGUUGCUACUGAGGUAGAGAUAACGAACAAUUACGGAUUCAAUUACCCCUAUUUAGCAAAAAUAGCCUAUAUGAAUAAUUAAUUAUUGCGCACUAAUCAAUCAUACACAAGGCCAUAGCAAUUAAAAUCAAGGAACAUAUAAAUACCAAUAAAUGAAGAAAAUAAUUAAAACAGAUUCGAUCUCACAGUAAUUGUCGAACCAAAUCGUCAGUUGUCCCCUUGACUAGAAAAACUUAGUCACGCCUCGUGAGAAAAUCUUCCCGUUGGGGAAUAUUGUCGAAUACCUGGCGUGUGUCAGAGGCCAGUCAAAAGAAAGAAAACUAGAACUAAACUAAAAAACUAAAACUAGAGAUGUCUUCUUUCCCUACGUUAUCCCUAUUUAAACAACAAAAGAAAGAUAGGCUAAAGCUAUCUAGGUGGUCCCCACACAUGUGGACAAAACCUCCAAAGUACUUCUUGCUUCAAGUCUCUUACGUAGCUUUCUUUGAAGAGCCCAAAUGACUUAUAGCUUUGUGGUCCCCACCAAUCCAAGGGCCCAAGGAUUGAAACCCUUAGAAGUCUCCAUAUUCUCCAUAAAAUCUCUUUUUUUUGGUAGUUUUUUGUUUCAUUCCUGAAAUUAAGUUCAGAUACCAAAUAUGAGUAGAUAUCAGUAAUUAACACAAUAUUUAUCAGGGAUAAAAGGGGAAAUUAAUAAUAAAAUUACUAACAAAUAAUGCUCUAUCAAUCAUCCAUUGUAUGACUUCCAUCCAACAAUUUCCCCAAAGUCUCACAAGUUAAUCUUGAAAAUAGACUUACACAGAAAAAAACAACACCAAAUAAUGUUAGUCUUAUCAAAUUUUCUUGUUCCAAACUUGAAUAUAAUUUCUAAAUCAGAAAAAUAAACAAUAAAAGAGAAUGGAUCUAAGAAAUGUAAUGGCAUUUGGAGGCAUGCUUGUGAUAAGAAAGACCAAGUGAGCAAUUCUAUGGUCCCUCUAAAGAACCAUUCCCUCAAUUUAUAUUUUUCUUUAAAAAUGAUAGUAAUUUAUAUUUUAAAUUAUUUAAAUUGUUACAAUUAAUAGUCAAAAUCUCUGAUUUUUACCAGCCAACGAUAAAACUCUAACGUACAUUUGUGAAUUAAUAUAUGUCCACUAAUAUGAAACAUGUCCCAAAAACAUUCAUAAUAAAGGGGGAUACUAUGGCAAAGAACCUAUCAUCCCCAAGCAAAGCCGGAAAGAAGGAAAAAUAGAAAAGCCCCCUGUAUUUGCCCAAGAAAAUGCUGCUAAUCUCAUAAUCUCAUUGGUACAAUAGUCUUACUAGUAGUUGAUUUGUUCACUAAAAGAAAUACUCUUUGGAGGGCAUCACAAUUUCAGUGGUCUGGCAUAGACUUCAAUUAAAUCAAUCAUCCUUUGAACAACAUUUGAGCAAUUAAAACAGAAUUAUCAGUUCGUAAAACCGAAUAGAGACACUUACCAAAAGGAAAACGUCAACAACUUCAGCAUGCAAGAUCAUUGCCACUCCAAAACGUUUAAAAAAAAACAGAAAAUACUGAUGAAUAAUUGCAUAUUCUUAUCCUACGACCCUACAAGUGAGAACAAAUUUAACAUAUAGAAAUCCAACCAUAUUUCAGCAAAUUAUCCAAAACACAGCUAUUUUGUUGGACAGUUUGUCUUCAAAGAGAAGUGGAAAGAAACGAUAGUUUGUCCUAUGAUUGCAUACGAGUCGAGUCACUCGCGAGCAGUUUGAGUUAAAAACUCGAUUCAAGUUCGAAUUAAUCAAAUCAGGCUCGAAUUCGAAUUACAAAAUACUCAACUUGUUAGCUCACGAGCCGAUUCGAUUUUAUAUAUAUAUAUAUUAUUUUAAUAGUAAAAUUACAUAUAUAUUUGUAAUAUUUUAUUAUUUAUUAAAAAAUUACUAUUUUAUUCAUUUUUAAAAAUAUAAAAUGAAUAAUUUUUUAUCAUUUUAAACUGGAACGCGAACUCGACUUGACUCGAAUUUCAGAUUGAGCUCAAGUUUUACAUUGAGAACUCAUCGAGUUCGAAUUCAAAUUUGAUAAAAUUAAGUCUAUACUCGAUUCGACUAGAUCAAAACUCGACUUGAUUCGAUUCAUUUGCAAUCCUAAUUUAUUCUCCUACUAAUAAUUCCAUUGGUUGAGAGGAUGUUCUUCAAGCAUUUCCAUACGGAGUGCUUUAUCUAGCGGGUGUUGCCACUCUUGGUUGACUUCUCCAAAUUCAGUGGGUCUAGAAGUGGUUUAGUCUUUGCAGAUUCUCAGUGACUAGGAAUGGCAACGGGACGGGUUUAGGGCAGGGGAGGUUGCUGCCUACUACUUCCCCCAGCCCCACCUACCCCCAUCCUCUGCUCCUUUCACCUCGCCCUACUUCCCCCGCCCCCCGUCUCGCUACCUACGACUUCCCCCUGCCCCCAGCCCGCCCCCAUCCCCCGCUCCCUUUGCCUUGCCCCGCUUCCUCGCGGGGGAACUUGUAGGGUUAAUAAAAAUUUGUAAUAUGAUUUUAGUGUAGUCAAAUUUUAACAAAUAAUUAAGUCUUAAAAUAUCAACACAUCAUCAAAUUAUUAUUCAUUGUAAUUUCACAAUUGAAAUCCAUAGAAACAUUAUUUGAAUACAAUCCAACAUGAUGAAACAAAUACAACUAAAGUAGUCAAGUUUUCAUUUUUGAAAUAAAUACAAUCACUAAGUCAUUAUUAUAUAUUUUUUUUGAGAAAAAAAGUGUUAUUAUGUUAAGUGUAAUUAGGAAUUUAGUAUAAAUGUAUUAAUAAAUUUAGUAUAACUAAUUAAUAAUUUUUAUUAGUAGACAUGUAUACUUAUUAGUAUAAUUGAUAAUGUCAAUUAUAUUACAUAUACUAAUAUACAUUAUAUAUUAUUUAUAACUAAUAAUAUCAUUAUUAUAAGUUUGUAACUAAUUAAAUUAAAUAUUAUAUAUACAUAUCUAUAUAAAUAUAUAUAUUUAAACGGAUCGGCGGGCUGGGGGAUGGGGCUGGGGUAUAAUCCCCUGCCCCCGCCCCGCCCCGUUUCUUAAAGGGGAGAAAAAAUUCCACCCCGCCCCAUUAGUCCCCUGCAGGCACCCGCCCUAACUGCCAUUCCUAUCAAUGACUUAGGUAAAUCUAUGUCCUUUUCCACGGUGUAAGAGCAGGGAAUAAGUGUAGGUAUAAAUUACUGACAUUUGAUGCAAAAAAAAUUUGUGAAGUGCUUUAUCUUGUGCUUGAUAUUAAGCCCCACCAAUGCUUCAUUUGUGCUUGUUUGGAUAGCGGAUUAUUUAUAGAAAUUUAUUUGAUUACAUAAUUAACAUAUUUUUUAAUUAUUUUUUCAUCUCGCAUACAUCAUAUAAAAAAUUUAUUGCAAAUUUUUUUUUCAAAAAAUUAUCCAAAAUAAUCCAGCAUCUCCGCGUUCAUGUGCUUAUCCCAAGUCGAACACGCACUGUGUUCGACUUCCUUCCUUCCUUUUUGCCAACCGGCAGCCAGAUUUGACAGUAUACAACCCUGAAUUGUUUGCACGCCAGUAGAACUUGUCUGGACCUUCAGGAGGCUAAGUGGAAUCUGUUGGCUUUGUUUGCACUAUCAAAAUUCAAAAUCCAUUCAAGCUCUUAGCUCUGUCACUUUUCUCAACUCAAAUGGAGUCAGUAAUUCAAUUGCACAGUCACAACCUCCUCAAACUCCUCCUCUUCCUCACCAUCCUCCACCAUCUACAACACUCAACCACCUCUCUCGAUCUCCUUCCCAAAGAAGCACUGCCGACCAAUUCUGGAUACCUCGAAGUCAACUCAACAACUGGUUCAGCCCUUUUCUACACAUAUUACGAGGCACAAGAGCCGGCCACACCCCUCUGUCAAACCCCACUUCUCAUCUGGCUCCAAGGUGGGCCUGGAUGCUCCUCCAUGCUUGGAAACUUCUAUGAACUAGGCCCCUGGCUGGUUUCGUCUAAUGUUUCAGUUAAGCCUAAUCCAGGGGCCUGGAACAGGAUAUUUGGUCUCCUUUUUAUUGAUAAUCCAAUUGGAACUGGAUUCAGCAUUACCGCUUCGCCUCAAGAAAUCCCAAGAAAUCAGCAUGAUGUCGCGAAACAUCUUUUCAUUGCAAUCAAGAAGUUUAUUAAGCUAGAUGAUUUGUUUAAAACGAGGCCAAUUUAUGUUGCUGGGGAAAGUUAUGCUGGAAAAUACGUUCCAGCACUUGGCCACUACAUAUUGACAAAGAAUGCUAUGUUGCCAGUUUCUAAUAGGGUCAAUUUAGCCGGUGUAGCUAUAGGGAAUGGGAUAACUGAUCCUGCAACACAAACGACCACACAUGCUUUGAAUGCUUACUAUUCUGGAUUCAUUAAUGAUAAGCAGAAGGAAGUCUUGGAGAAUCUUCAAAAGGAGGCUGUUGAAUUGGUACGAAUUGGGAACUGGACUGGUGCUGCUGAUGCGAGGCAUAUAGUGUUCAAAACAUUGCUAGACAUGACUGGCUUGUCAACUAUGUAUGAUUUUAGAAGGUUAGUUCCAUAUCAAGAUUAUUUAGUGGCUGAGUUUUUAACAAAUUCAGAGGUAAAAAAGGCGUUAGGGGCUAAGGAAGAUAUUGUGUUCAAAGAUUGUAGCGCAGUUGUGGCAGAGGCACUGAAUGAAGAUCACAUGAAGAGUGUGAGGUAUAUGGUUGACUACUUAGUUCAGGAAACUAAGGUUUUACUGUACCAGGGCCAGUGUGAUAUGCUGGAUAAUGUGGUGUCGAAUGAGGCUUGGGUGAAGAAACUGAAGUGGGAAAAAAUAAGAGAGUUCUUGGAGGCAGAAAAGAAAGUUUGGAGAGUGAAUGAGACUUUAGCAGGUUCUGUGCAGAAGUAUGAGAAUUUGAGUCAUGUUGUGGUGUUGAAUGCUGGACACCUUGUGCCUGCUGAUCAGCCUUUGAAUUCUCAAGCAAUGAUAGAAGACUGGGUUUUGGACAGGGGAUUGUUUGCCAAUUAGCAAACAAAAUGCAAACCAAAUAUCACUUUGUUGUGUCAUAUUUUAUUUACUUUGUUGUGUGCUGCAAUAUCUGUCCUAGUAAUUCAGCUCCAGUAUUUACACUUGAAGCCAAGAACUUUGUCAUCUCGGCUGAUGAAUUAGCAGUUUCAGUAGCCAUCACAAAUUAGUUAUUACUAUCUUUGUUCUUAGGCACAGCCUAAUGAACCGAUACUCAUUAAGUUACUAAUGAGUUCAAAUGAAUAUAUGCUGCUUUUUGGAAACAACCAAUGGCAAUAGGCGCCAGUUCAACUCUGUUCAACUGUUUGCAGUAGAAUCUUGCUGAGCUUGGAGCUUUCAACUCCUUCAAAAAUAUGCAAUUGCUUUUCUUGAAUUUUCUUCUCCAUGACCGAUUCAACUACUUUCUGCAUGUAGAUUUGUCUCAUGCCCAAUGAAUUGCCUCAGCUCACCAAGAAACACACACUAUCAGCUGGUUUCUUGAGAAGCAAUUGGUUUCAUUUGUCAAUACAUUGCCGAAACGGUCAAUCAGAAGUUAAUCUUGAAAAUAAACUUACACAGCAAAAACAACACAAAUAACGUUAGUCUUAUUAAAAUUUCUCGUUCCAAACUUGAAUAUAAUUUCUAAAUCAGGAAAAUAAACAAUAAAAGAGAAUGGAUCUAAGAAAUGUAAUGGCAUUUGGAGGCAGGCUUGUGAUAAAAAAGACCGAGUGAGGAACGAUGAGAAGAAAGUAAAAUAAAUUUGGCCCAAAAAGAGACCAAAAGAAUUCUUACUAACUUCUAACAGAUGCCCACUUGAAGCAAACAAACCCGUACUAUGAUGCCAUAAUAGUUUGUUGUAUAGGGCAUGGAGUUGCAGGGCAACCUGCAGAGUACCUGCAGGGUAUUUCAGAGCCAUUAGUAGAAGAACUCUCCUCUUAUUUGCAUCCAGCCCUUUAUUGCAUGAUCAAUUGGAGAAAAGAAGAAAAAGGCAAAUUAGGGAGGAGAAGGAAAGGAGAGGUGAUGGUAGCGGAAAAGCUGC